rnacentral:lncRNA from 1 species
UAAGUCACCAAAAGAAGGGCUUUUUUUGCAUUUAGUCCCCUAGCAAAUUUUUAUUUUAAAAUUAGCCCUGUCAAAAUUUAAUUUGCAAAAAUGAUCCUGGACCUGCUAUGCAAGCGCCACGUCAGCGCCACGCGGGCAGGACCGGGGCGCGUGUGUUAAGUUGAACACGGUGAACCAUUCACUGUGUUCAAACACGGUGAAUGGUUCGCCGUGUUGAGUACGCAUUGUUAUUGAAAAGAGAAAUAGGGAGUAGGGAUGUCAAUAGGUAUGGAUAUCCGAAAUAUUAUCCGAAUCCAAAUCCGAAUAAAUUAUAUAUAUAUAUAUAUAUUUUUACUUAUUUAUAUAAUUUAUAAAAUAUUUAAUAAUUUUUAUUUCUUAGAUUUUCAUCUAACGGUAUAGAUUUUUAAAACCCGCUGGGUUCAGAUUCGGAUUUCGAGUUUUUGGUCGGAUAUGGAUAUGGGUAUGAAUUUUUAAAAUCCGUCGGGUUCGGAUCCGGGUUUGGAUUUUAAUUUGAUUUUCGGGUUCGAGUUCGGAUUUUUGAAAAAGAGAAGAAAAGGAAUACAAAUUUCCUAUUCCUCUUUUCAAUAUACAAAAAAUACAUACCAAACACAGUGAACCAUUCACCGUGUUUAGACACGGUGAAUGGUUCACCGUGUUUAACUUAACUACCGCUCCCAGUCCCGCCCCCGUGGCACUGACGUGGAACCUGCGUGGUAGGUCUAGGGUCAUUUUUGCAAAUUAAAUUUUGACAGGGCUAUUUUUAAAAUAAAAAUUUGCCAGGGA